GAUGAACGCUGGCGGCGUGCUUAACACAUGCAAGUCGAACGGUGAAGCAGAGCUUGCUCUGUGGAUCAGUGGCGAACGGGUGAGUAAUACGUGAGCAAUCUGCCCCUGACUCUGGGAUAAGCGCUGGAAACGGUGUCUAAUACUGGAUAAGAGCCAUGGCCGCAUGGUCUGUGGUUGGAAAGAUUUUUCGGUUGGGGAUGAGCUCACGGCCUAUCAGCUUGUUGGUGAGGUAAUGGCUCACCAAGGCGUCGACGGGUAGCCGGCCUGAGAGGGUGACCGGCCACACUGGGACUGAGACACGGCCCAGACUCCUACGGGAGGCAGCAGUGGGGAAUAUUGCACAAUGGGCGGAAGCCUGAUGCAGCAACGCCGCGUGAGGGAUGACGGCCUUCGGGUUGUAAACCUCUUUUAGCAGGGAAGAAGCUUUUGUGACGGUACCUGCAGAAAAAGCGCCGGCUAACUACGUGCCAGCAGCCGCGGUAAUACGUAGGGCGCAAGCGUUAUCCGGAAUUAUUGGGCGUAAAGAGCUCGUAGGCGGUUUGUCGCGUCUGCUGUGAAAUCCCGAGGCUCAACCUCGGGCCUGCAGUGGGUACGGGCAGACUAGAGUGCGGUAGGGGAGAUUGGAAUUCCUGGUGUAGCGGUGGAAUGCGCAGAUAUCAGGAGGAACACCGAUGGCGAAGGCAGAUCUCUGGGCCGUAACUGACGCUGAGGAGCGAAAGGGUGGGGAGCAAACAGGCUUAGAUACCCUGGUAGUCCACCCCGUAAACGUUGGGAACUAGUUGUGGGGUCCAUUCCACGGAUUCCGUGACGCAGCUAACGCAUUAAGUUCCCCGCCUGGGGAGUACGGCCGCAAGGCUAAAACUCAAAGGAAUUGACGGGGACCCGCACAAGCGGCGGAGCAUGCGGAUUAAUUCGAUGCAACGCGAAGAACCUUACCAAGGCUUGACAUACACCAGAACACCCUGGAAACAGGGGACUCUUUGGACACUGGUGAACAGGUGGUGCAUGGUUGUCGUCAGCUCGUGUCGUGAGAUGUUGGGUUAAGUCCCGCAACGAGCGCAACCCUCGUUCUAUGUUGCCAGCACGUAAUGGUGGGAACUCAUGGGAUACUGCCGGGGUCAACUCGGAGGAAGGUGGGGAUGACGUCAAAUCAUCAUGCCCCUUAUGUCUUGGGCUUCACGCAUGCUACAAUGGCCGGUACAAAGGGCUGCGAUACCGUAAGGUGGAGCGAAUCCCAAAAAGCCGGUCCCAGUUCGGAUUGAGGUCUGCAACUCGACCUCAUGAAGUCGGAGUCGCUAGUAAUCGCAGAUCAGCAACGCUGCGGUGAAUACGUUCCCGGGUCUUGUACACACCGCCC
rnacentral:rRNA from 1 species